UGGGGAAUAUUGGACAAUGGGCGCAAGCUUGAUCCAGCCAUGCCGCGUGAGUGAUGAAGGCCUUAGGGUUGUAAUGCUCUUUUGGCGGGGACGAUAAUGACGGUACCCGCAGAAUAAGCCCCGGCUAACUUCGUGCCAGCAGCCGCGGUAAUACGAAGGGGGCUAGCGUUGUUCGGAAUUACUGGGCGUAAAGCGCACGUAGGCGGAUCGGCAAGUCAGGGGUGAAAUCCCGGGGCUCAACCUCGGAACUGCCUCUGAUACUGCCAGUCUAGAGUCCGGAAGAGGUGGGUGGAAUUCCUAGUGUAGAGGUGAAAUUCGCAGAUAUUAGGAAGAACACCGGUGGCGAAGGCGGCCCACUGGUCCGGUACUGACGCUGAGGUGCGAAAGCGUGGGGAGCAAACAGGAUUAGAUACCCAUGUAGUCCCUGAGCGGGCUGGCAAGGCGCAU
rnacentral:rRNA from 1 species